rnacentral:lncRNA from 1 species
UGUCUUUUUCAAUGCAUGUUUUGUGACUUUUGUCAAAAGUUAGGUGACUAUCGCUGUGUGGGCGUAUUUCUAAGCUGUCUAUUCCAUCACUUUACGUGCUUGUCUUUGUGCCAGUGCCACAUGGUUUUUGUUAUUAUCACUUCACUAUAUAAUUUAAUAUCAGAUAUCUCAUCAGUGUCUUUCUGCCUAGAAUUAUUUUGGUAUUCAGGGUCCCUUGCAGGUCUACAUGAAUACCUGGGACCUAUAAAGCAAUUCAAAAAUCAAACACCAAAAAAAAAAAAUCAUCAGACUAAUAAAUAGGAUGAAAGUUAAUAAACAGAACUAUCCAAGAAAUACUUUUAAUGUGUUCAACAUUCUUACCAAGCAGGAAAAUACAAAUUAAAACUGCUUUGAGAUUUCAUUUCACCCAGUGAGAAUUGCUAUCAUCAGGAUAACAAACGCUAGCAAAUUCUGGAAAAAAAUGUGAGAAUAGAGGAACCCUCAGACACUGCUGAUAGGAAUAUAAACUCGUAAAGCCCUCAUGGAAAUUAGUAGAUAGGUUUUUCAAAAGCUCAAGUAUGAAAUUACCAUAUGACCCAACUAUAUCUCUCCUGGCUGUAUAUUCAAAGGACUCUAAUUCCUAUUACAAGGAUACGUCUACAUUUGUAUUUAUGAAUGUAUUAUUUACAAAAGAGAAGAAAUGGAACCAGCUUAGAUGUCUAUGAAUAUAUGAAAGGAUAAAAAAAUGUAAUUAUAUAUAUUAUGGGACUUUAUUCAGCCAAGAGAAAAAGUAAAAUUAUGGUCUUUGUAGGAGGAAAAAGCAGAUAAAACACUACAUUGUUAUAUUGAGUGAAAUAAGCCAGUUUAGGAAAGACAAAGCUGCAUGUUUUCUCUUGUGUGCGUUUAUCUGGGCGGGUGGGGGUAGGUAUUAACUAGAAAGGGGCCCAUGAAAUGGGAGGAGUAGAUGUUUAAAGGUGGGAGGGGGAGGGAAUGAUAGACUAAUGGAAUCCAUGUGAUAUAAAAAGGGUGGGCUAGUAAUGAGUGAUGGGAAGGAGCAAGGGAUUGGGGAGGGUAGAAAGGGAGGGAAACAAAAAGUAUAACAUGUGUGUGAAAAUGUCAAAAUAAUCACAGUACUUUGUAUGUUGAGUUAAUUAUUGAAAACAAUAAAUUUUUCAAAG